rnacentral:rRNA from 1 species
GAAAACCAACUGGGAUUACCUUAGUAACGGCGAGUGAAGCGGUAAAAAGCUCAAAUUUGAAAUCUGGUACUUUCAGUGCCCGAGUUGUAAUUUGUAGAAUUUGUCUUUGAUUAGGUCCUUGUCUAUGUUCCUUGGAACAGGACGUCAUAGAGGGUGAGAAUCCCGUUUGGCGAGGAUACCUUUUCUCUGUAAGACUUUUUCGAAGAGUCGAGUUGUUUGGGAAUGCAGCUCAAAGUGGGUGGUAAAUUCCAUCUAAAGCUAAAUAUUGGCGAGAGACCGAUAGCGAACAAGUACAGUGAUGGAAAGAUGAAAAGAACUUUGAAAAGAGAGUGAAAAAGUACGUGAAAUUGUUGAAAGGGAAGGGCAUUUGAUCAGACAUGGUGUUUUGCGCCCUUUGCUCCUUGUGGGCGGAGGAUACGCAGCUCACUGGGCCAACAUCAGUUUUGGGAGCAGGAUAAAUCUGUAGGAACGUAGCUUUCUUCGGGGAAUGUUAUAGCCUAUGGGAAUACUGCUACCUGGGA